AUUUGAAAUCUGGUCCCCAGGGCCCGAGUUGUAAUUUGUAGAGGAUGCUUUUGCCGAGGCGCCUUCCGAGUUCCCUGGAACGGGACGCCACAGAGGGUGAGAGCCCCGUCUGGUCGGAUGCCAAGCCUAUGUAAAGCUCCUUCGACGAGUCGAGUAGUUUGGGAAUGCUGCUCAAAAUGGGAGGUAUAUGUCUUCUAAAGCUAAAUAUUGGCCAGAGACCGAUAGCGCACAAGUAGAGUGAUCGAAAGAUGAAAAGCACUUUGAAAAGAGGGUUAAAAAGUACGUGAAAUUGUUGAAAGGGAAGCGCCUAUGACCAGACUUGGGCCCGGUGAAUCAUCCAGCGUUCUCGCUGGUGCACUUUGCCGGGCACAGGCCAGCAUCAGUUUGGCGCGGGGGAUAAAGGCUUCGGGAAUGUGGCUCCCUCGGGAGUGUUAUAGCCCGUUGUGUAAUACCCUGCGCCGGACUGAGGUACGCGCU
rnacentral:rRNA from 1 species